UACGUAGGGUGCGAGCGUGAAUCGGAAUUACUGGGCGUAAAGCGUGCGCAGGCGGUUCGUUAUGUCCGAUGUGAAAGCCCCGAGCUUAACUUGGGAAUGGCAUUGGAAACUGGCGGGCUGGAGGGCAGUAGAGGUAGGCGGAAUUCCGGGUGGAGUGGUGAAAUGCGUAGAGAUCCGGAGGAACACCAGAGGCGAAGGCGGCCUACUGGGCUGCACCUGACGCUGAGCCGCGAAAGCCAGGGGAGCGAACGGG
rnacentral:rRNA from 1 species